ensembl:lncRNA
CACACAUUAGCACCAUGUGCUAACUGUGGCUCAAGAACCACAUUUACCAAGACAACUAUCCAGUACAAAGCCCUAAAACACACCAAGAAACACAUUAAAGACGAUUUUACUGCUGGAAGCUGCAAGCCAACGCCUAAAGAACAAAUUAAAGCAAUGGAGCCAAACGGUUCAGUGGUGAAGACAAGCAGAGGAAAUGUUUGUCUGCAGCUAAAUAAAGCAGGAAGACACUGAGCUGCUCAGGUGUUCCUGAUAACACCAAGCAGCCACCUGGACAGCCAAUAGGAACACAGCUUACUGGAAGUCCAGAGGGCUGGGCUAGUGAAGGAAAUUUAGUUUAAAGUUGAAGCAGAAAGUUAACAAAGAAAGUUGAAAACCACCUUCUGAUACCUGAAAUCUCUGAGUUUUCACACAAAGAACACCUGAACAUGUCAAACUGUUUCCAUAGUAGAACCAUCAUUGUAAAAACGUCAUAGUAUGGUGUGUUGCUCAAAAAACAUUACAACCCGGCUGUCUAGAGUCACAGAGGAGCAACACAAAAACAGGACAAACGCUGGUUUCCAGGGGGUUAGGCAGCUAUUUAUUUGAAAGAGUAAGUUUACAACAACACAACAUGUGAGCAGAAAAAUCACAAAGUCUGUCUUUAGUUCAGCUGAAAAUAUUAGUUUUUGUCUUUUUUAUUGACCAAACUUUUCAGGAAGUAGAUGAAGAAUAAUUAAAGCUCUCAUGUAGAAGUCCAACUUAUUUUGGAUCCUUGUGGAGAGUUUAAUCUUAGAGUUUGUAAAGCUGUUGAGUUUUUAGAGUCACAUGGAUUGUUUUGACAUUUAAUAACCGAGUCCUGAAAUAAAAUUACAGUUGUGGAUUUCUGUCAUUUAGUCUGGACUAAAACAACAGCAGCAUAAAUCUCAAAGGUCAUUAUGAGGAGUCUGGAUUGAGGUUUCUCACUUGAUAAUGAUCAAAACAUGAAAUUUAGGUUGGUUUAAAGGAAUAUUCCACCUUAAAUCUUUGAAUGUUGACCUAAAAGGUUGGUUUCAAUUCAAUUCCAAUUCAAUUCAAUUUUAUUUAUAUAGUGUCAAUUACAGUCAAAUUGUCUCGAGACGCUUUACAGAACCCAUAUGCCUGACCCCCAGAGCAAGCCAAAAGGCGACAGUGGCAAGGAAAACACCCUUUUAACAGGGAAAAAAACCUCGAGCAGAACCCGGCUCUAAUGUGGGGGGACCCAUCUGCCUGCUGGCCGGGCGGGUUGAGAGGGACAGAAGAGGUAGAAAGGUAGAGAUAGAGGGGUAGAGAUAGAGGUAGAGGGUUACAGUUGGUGGGAGAACAACUACACAUCUGAAGCAUCCAGCUCUGGGACCAGGGACACUCAGAGAAAGGACACAGGGAGUAUUCCACCUACAAGGUCCUCAAACAUCCACCUUAAAAGGACAUUCCACCAAAAAUCCUUGGACAUGCACCUAAAAUGUUGGUUUAACCGAAUAUUCCAUCCAAAAUCCUCAAAGAGACCUGAGGGGCUGGUUAAAAGGAAUAUUCCACCUAAAACCUCAAAUAUAGACCCAAAAGGGUGGUUUAGAAAAAAUCCUUCAAUGUAGACCAAAAAAGUUAGUAUGGGGGAAUAUUCCACCUGAAAUGUAGACCUGAGAAGUUGGUUUGGAAGAAUAUACCAUCCUAAACAUCCUUAAAUGUAGACUAAAAGAUGGUUUGGAAGAAAAUUCCACCUAAAAUCCUC